rnacentral:rRNA from 1 species
GACGAACGCUGGCGGCGCGCCUAACACAUGCAAGUCGAACGAGAGAGAGGGAGCUUGCUUCCUUGAUCGAGUGGCGAACGGGUGAGUAACGCGUGAGGAACCUGCCUCAAAGAGGGGGACAACAGUUGGAAACGACUGCUAAUACCGCAUAAGCCCACGGCUCGGCAUCGAGCAGAGGGAAAAGGAGCAAUCCGCUUUGAGAUGGCCUCGCGUCCGAUUAGCUAGUUGGUGAGGUAAUGGCCCACCAAGGCGACGAUCGGUAGCCGGACUGAGAGGUUGAACGGCCACAUUGGGACUGAGACACGGCCCAGACUCCUACGGGAGGCAGCAGUGGGGAAUAUUGCACAAUGGGGGAAACCCUGAUGCAGCGACGCCGCGUGGAGGAAGAAGGUCUUCGGAUUGUAAACUCCUGUUGUUGAGGAAGAUAAUGACGGU